rnacentral:rRNA from 1 species
GAUGAACGCUGGCGGCGUGCCUAAUACAUGCAAGUCGAGCGAACAGACGAGGAGCUUGCUCCUCUGACGUUAGCGGCGGACGGGUGAGUAACACGUGGAUAACCUACCUAUAAGACUGGGAUAACUUCGGGAAACCGGAGCUAAUACCGGAUAAUAUAUUCAACCGCAUGGUUCAAUAGUGAAAGACGGUUUUGCUGUCACUUAUAGAUGGAUCCGCGCCGCAUUAGCUAGUUGGUAAGGUAACGGCUUACUAAGGCAACGAUGCGUAGCCGACCUGAGAGGGUGAUCGGCCACACUGGAACUGAGACACGGUCCAGACUCCUACGGGAGGCAGCAGUAGGGAAUCUUCCGCAAUGGGCGAAAGCUUGACGGAGCAACGCCGCGUGAGUGAUGAAGGUCUUCGGAUCGUAAAACUCUGUUAUUAGGGAAGAACAAAUGUGUAAGUAACUAUGCACGUCUUGACGGUACCUAAUCAGAAAGCCACGGCUAACUACGUG